AGUCAAUGCUGGCGGUAGGCCUAACACGUGCAAGUCGAACGGCAGCACAGUAAGAGCUUGCUCUUACGGGUGGCGAGUGGCGGACGGGUGAGGAAUACAUCGGAAUCUACUUUUUCGUGGGGGAUAACGUAGGGAAACUUACGCUAAUACCGCAUACGACCUACGGGUGAAAGCAGGGGAUCUUCGGACCUUGCGCGAUUGAAUGAGCCGAUGUCGGAUUAGCUAGUUGGCGGGGUAAAGGCCCACCAAGGCGACGAUCCGUAGCUGGUCUGAGAGGAUGAUCAGCCACACUGGCACGGAGACACGGGCCAGACUCCUAUGGGGGGCAGCAGUGGGGAAUAUUCGACAAUGGGCGCAAGCCUGAUCCAGCCAUACCGCGUGGGUGAAGAAGGCCUUCGGGUUCUAAAGCCCUUUUGUUGGGAAAGAAAAGCAGCAGGUUAAUACCCCGCUGUUCUGACGGUGCCCAAAGAAUAAGCACCGGCUCACUUCGUG
rnacentral:rRNA from 1 species